rnacentral:rRNA from 1 species
GACGAACGCUGGCGGCGUGCUUAACACAUGCAAGUCGAACGGAAAGGCCCUGCUUUUGUGGGGUGCUCGUGUGGCGCACGGGUGUGUAACACGUGUGUAACCCCCCCUUGUCUUUGGUAUAACUUCAGGAAACUUGGGCUAAUACCGGAUAGGAUCUCCUUCUCCAUGUUGGUGGUUGGAAAGUUUCGGCUGUUGGGGCUGGACUCGCGGCUUUUCGGCUUUUUGGUGGGGUAGUUGCUUACCAAGGCUUUGACGGAUAGGCGGCCUGGGCGGGUUACCGGCGACAUGGGGACUGAGAGACGGCGCAGACGAGUACGGGAGGCAACAGUGGAGAGUAUGACAGAAUGAGGGGGAGCCGGAGACAGAGGCGCCGCGUGCGGGAGGACGGACUUCGGGUUGAAAACCGCUGUCGCCGGAAACGAGGCGGGAGUGACGGUAAUGGGUAAAGAAGCACCGGCUAACUACGUG